AGGACUUCCUUGCAUUUCUGUAUGCAGGGUCGCUACUGAAGCAACAAAUGGAGCCAGAAGGAUUAAGGUCAAGCACAGCAUACUGUGGACCACAAUACACUUUGAACAUCAGGACUGUACUGAUGGAACUGAACCCCAAGGAAAUGUAGAUGUGGCAAGAGUGCUUUGAAGAAAUUCCAGUUGCUGCUGGGAGUGGCCAAA
rnacentral:lncRNA from 1 species